rnacentral:rRNA from 1 species
CCUACGGGCGGCAGCAGUAGGGAAUCUUCCACAAUGGGCGAAAGCCUGAUGGAGCAACGCCGCGUGGGUGAAGAAGGUCUUCGGAUCGUAAAACCCUGUUGUUAGAGAAGAAAGUGCGUGAGAGUAACUGUUCACGUUUCGACGGUAUCUAACCAGAAAGCCACGGCUAACUACGUGCCAGCAGCCGCGGUAAUACGUAGGUGGCAAGCGUUAUCCGGAUUUAUUGGGCGUAAAGGGAACGCAGGCGGUCUUUUAAGUCUGAUGGGAAAGCCUUCGGCUUAACCGGAGUAGUGCAUCGGAAACUGGGAGACUUGAGUGCAGAAGAGGAGAGUGGAACUCCAUGUGUAGCGGUGAAAUGCGUAGAUAUAUGGAAGAACACCAGUGGCGAAAGCGGCUCUCUGGUCUGUAACUGACGCUGAGGUUCGAAAGCGUGGGUAGCAAACAGGAUUAGAUACCCGAGUAGUC